AGUGAACGCUGGCGGUAGGCCUAACACAUGCAAGUCGAACGGCAGCACAGUAAGAGCUCGCUCUUACGGGUGGCGAGUGGCGGGUGGGUGAGGCGUACAUAGCAAUCUACUUUUUCGUGGGGGAUAACGUGGGGAAACAUACGCUACUACCGCAUACGACGUACGGGUGAAAGCAGGGGAUCUUCGGACCUUGCCUGACUCAAUGAGCCGAUGUCGGAUUAGCUAGUUGGUGGGGUAAAGGCCCACCAAGGCGACGAUCCGUAGCUGGUCUGAGAGGAUGAUCAGCCACACUGGAACUGAGACACGGUCCAGACUCCUACGGGAGGCAGCAGUGGGGAAUAUUGGACAAUGGGCGCAAGCCUGAUCCAGCCAUACCGCGUGGGUGAAGAAGGCCUUCGGGUUGUAAAGCCCUUUUGUUUGGGAAGAAAAGCAGCAGGUGAAUACCCCGCUGUUCUGACGGUACCCAAAGAAUAAGCACCGGCUAACUUCGUG
rnacentral:rRNA from 1 species